rnacentral:rRNA from 1 species
GAUGAACGCUGGCGGCGUGCCUAAUACAUGCAAGUCGAGCGAAUGGAUUAAGAGCUUGCUCUUAUGAAGUUAGCGGCGGACGGGUGAGUAACACGUGGGUAACCUGCCCAUAAGACUGGGAUAACUCCGGGAAACCGGGGCUAAUACCGGAUAACAUUUUGAACCGCAUGGUUCGAAAUUGAAAGGCGGCUUCGGCUGUCACUUAUGGAUGGACCCGCGUCGCAUUAGCUAGUUGGUGAGGUAACGGCUCACCAAGGCAACGAUGCGUAGCCGACCUGAGAGGGUCAUCGGCCACACUGGGACUGAAACACGGGCCAGACUCCUACGGGAGGCAGCAGUAGGGAAUCUUCCGCAAUGGACGAAAGUCUGACGGAGCAACGCCGCGUGAGUGAUGAAGGCUUUCGGGUCGUAAAACUCUGUUGUUAGGGAAGAACAAGUGCUAGUUGAAUAAGCUGGCACCUUGACGGUACCUAACCAGAAAGCCACGGCUAACUACGUGCCAGCCGCCGCGGUAA